AUACGGCGGGUGCAAGCGUUACUCGGAAUCACUGGGCGUAAAGCGCGCGCAGGCGGUCUUUUAAGUUGGAUGUGAAAGCCUACGGCUCAACCGUAGAACUGCAUCCAAAACUAUUAGACUAGAGUGUGGGAGAGGAAGAUGGAAUUAGUUGUGUAGGGGUAAAAUCCGUAGAGAUAACUAGGAAUACCAAAAGCGAAGGCAAUCUUCUGGAACACUACUGACGCUGAGGCGCGAAAGCGUGGGGAGCAAACAGGAUUAGAUACCCGAGUAGUCC
rnacentral:rRNA from 1 species